CUCAAUUCAACACUCUUUUAAAAAUUUAUAACCAAACAAAAUUUUUACAUUUAAAUCAUAAUUACAUAACUCACAAACUUAAAAUAUAAUUUAUACCCUCAAAUCAUAUUUAUAAAACUUUACGAAAUGCAGUUUGAUUCUCACCCAUUUGUUCUCUCACUCUCAUUUCUGCUCUCCAUCUAGAAGCUUCUCUCGCUCUCACCCAUCCCCUUCAUUCUCCCUCUCUCUCUCUCUCUCUCCCCUUCUUCUUCGUUUCUUUUCCCUCACCGAUGGUGUGUUCUAUAUUGAAGAUGAAAACCCUAAUCUUCAAUGAGCAUCACAAAGCCCUCUUCGGUUUCAUCUUGUCCAACCCUCUGUUCUUUCUCCCUCUAACACUAACCCUAACCCUAACCCUAACCCUUGAAAUCAUUUCAGGAAGAAGAUGAAACCCUUGAAACCCCAUCAACCAUCACUCAUCCAAAUCGGCUUUCUGAAGAAGGUGAAGACCAAGAAGAUGAAGUCGAAGCUUUAGAGUACUAAAAUCGUCUGAAAUCCAUCAACCAUCUUCAAAUCCAGGUUAAUGCACCUUCAUGGCAACCAACAUGGAAUAUGCAAAGAGAAAAAUUGUGAUACUUACCUUAUGGCCUUUUAUUUUUGGAAAAUGUGGAGAUGAUUAUUUCUUUGUGUCAUUACCACGAAAUAAAAAUAAAAAAUAAAAAAAGAGAGAGAAAAAAAUAUAAAACUGAAUAGUUUAUUUUUAAAAAUAUGUUUAUUCAUUUUUUUGACGACAAAUGUGAUAAAUUAAAAAAGUUACGAUUAUUAAAUAGAUUUAAUUUUUUUCAUGGAUAAUAUACAUAGAUGACUUUACAAAACGGGGCUCGUUGUCCCAAAUAUGAGGGUCAAAUUCAAAAUUUGGGCGUAGUCUAAACUCUUAAAUCAAUUAUUUUUUAUUAUUUAUUUAUUUAUUUAUUUUGUGCGCUCUUACCAUUUUUUAUUUUAUUUUUAUUUUUUUUAUCCUUUUAUCAUUGUAAUCAUCCAAAUAAUUGAUGAGAGAUUUUUUACUUCAUUUUUUUUUUAAUCGCCAAACCCUGUAAUUCAAACGGUUAGAGUUGCAUGUCUACUGGAGUAUUAUUUUUGUUUGAUCAACAAAGAUAAAUUUAUUGAUGUAAGACAAACACAUUAUACAAAAAAAAUGGGUGUAAGUCUGAAAUUUAAAUUUUUGAACAGUUUGAUAAAUUUAAAAAAAAAAAAAAA